rnacentral:lncRNA from 1 species
GGGCGCGCGGCCUCGCCGGUUUGAAUGGAAGGAUCCCGAGCGGCGGGGGCGGCGGCUCGCAGGUCCUGAAGCCAGCACUCGUCCUCCCCCACCCCGCGCCCGAGACAUGCGGCGGGAGAGGUGCGGCGUCCCCCGCCCUCGUCCCCGCCAUGGAGGUGCUGCGGCGCUCCUCGGUCCUCGCCGCCGAGAUCAUGGACGCCUUUGACCGCUCGCCCACCGACAAGGAGCUGGUGGCCCAGGCCAAGGCGCUCGGCCGCGAGUUCGUGCACGCGCGGCUGCUACGCGCUGGCCUCUCCUGGAGCGCGCCCGAGCGCGCCGCGCCGGUCCCCGGCGGCCGCCUGGCGGAGGUGUGCGCCGUGCUGCUGCGCCUGGCGGACGAGCUGGAGCUGAUCCGGCCCAGCGUCUACCGCAACGUGGCCCGCCAGCUGAACCUCUCCUUGCAGUCGGAGACCGUGGUGACCGACGCCUUCCUGGCCGUGGCGACCCAGAUCUUCUCUGCAGGUGCCAGGCGUUGCCGGGUGUCCAGGAGCAGAGCCCCACCCGGGACAGCACCUUCUCCUUGGACGACCCGGCGUGCCCCCCGGCGCCUGGAGCCGCAUCGGCCGGGGACCCUGAGGCACGGAUGGUGGUCCCAGCCUCGGGGAGGAGUCCGUGCGGGCCCACAGCUGAGUGCUCCGGGCUGCAUCCUGGCUGGAGGACAGGUGCAUCACGUGGGGCAAGGUUGUGUCUCUGUACUCGGUGGCCGCGGGGCUGGCCGUGGACUGUGUGCGGCAGGCCCAGCCCGCCCUGGUGCACGCCCUCGUCGACUGUCUCGGGGAGUUUGUACGGAAGACACUGGCAACCUGGCUGCGGAGGCGUGGUGGAUGGACAGACGUGCUCAAGUGUGUGGUCAGCACCGACCCAGGCCUGCGCUCUCACUGGCUGGUGGCCGCGCUCUGCAGCUUUGGCCGCUUCCUGAAGGCUGCCUUCUUCAUGCUGUUGCCGGAGAGAUGAGAUGCUGGCUCAGGCAGGAGCCCAGGGGGCCCUCCGCCCCACCCCAGCUGGGAAGACCCUCGGAGCCGCCCCUGAGUGGACGCUGGAGGCCCUGCCCUGAGCCCCUCCUCCAAAGCCCAGGCCCUCUGCACAGAGGCGUGAGGGUCUCCCCCAGGCCUGGAGCUGGGCUUCAGUGCCGACCCUUCUGCCUUGCUGCCCCUGGAAGCCCUGCCCGCCCCGUUCUUCCUGGGCCAGAAGGCUGCACCGCGUCCCGGCCCUGA